rnacentral:rRNA from 1 species
CCUACGGGAGGCAGCAGUGGGGAAUCUUGCGCAAUGGGCGAAAGCCUGACGCAGCCAUGCCGCGUGAAUGAUGAAGGUCUUAGGAUUGUAAAAUUCUUUCACCGAGGACGAUAAUGACGGUACUCGGAGAAGAAGCCCCGGCUAACUUCGUGCCAGCAGCCGCGGUAAUACGAAGGGGGCUAGCGUUGCUCGGAAUUACUGGGCGUAAAGGGAGCGUAGGCGGAUAGUUUAGUCAGAGGUGAAAGCCCAGGGCUCAACCUUGGAAUUGCCUUUGAUACUGGCUAUCUUGAGUACGGAAGAGGUAUGUGGAACUCCGAGUGUAGAGGUGAAAUUCGUAGAUAUUCGGAAGAACACCAGUGGCGAAGGCGACAUACUGGUCCGUUACUGACGCUGAGGCUCGAAAGCGUGGGGAGCAAACAGGAUUAGAUACCCUGGUAGUCCACGCUGUAAACGAUGAGUGCUAGUUGUCGGCAUGCAUGCAUGUCGGUGCGCAGCUACGCAUUAAGACACUCCGCCGUCGGGGUAGGUACGGUCGGCGAAGAAGUUAAAACGUUAAAACGGUAAAGUUAGUACGGCGUGAGACGUCGCCGACGGACGACGACGAGGGAGGAGG